GAGAGGAAUUGCAGAUGGGUUGCUUAUUAGUUCCGUGGCGUCUUGCUCAAAUCUUUGGGCAUUAAUCAUGGAUGCUGGAACAGGUUUUACAAACCAAGUCUACGAGCUCUCUCCUUUUUUUCUUGCACAAGGAAUGGAUAAUGGAACAGUGGGAAAAGAACUAUUACAUCAGUUCUAUUGCUGGUGCUAAUAAUGGAAGCUCCCUCGUG
rnacentral:misc_RNA from 1 species